rnacentral:rRNA from 1 species
AGUCGAGCGAACGGACGAGAAGCUUGCUUCUCUGAUGUUAGCGGCGGACGGGUGAGUAACACGUGGAUAACCUACCUAUAAGACUGGGAUAACUUCGGGAAACCGGAGCUAAUACCGGAUGAUAUUUUGAACCGCAUGGUUCAAAAGUGAAAGACGGUCUUGCUGUCACUUAUAGAUGGAUCCGCGCUGCAUUAGCUAGUUGGUAAGGUAACGGCUUACCAAGGCAACGAUGCAUAGCCGACCUGAGAGGGUGAUCGGCCACACUGGAACUGAGACACGGUCCAGACUCCUACGGGAGGCAGCAGUAGGGAAUCUUCCGCAAUGGGCGAAAGCCUGACGGAGCAACGCCGCGUGAGUGAUGAAGGUCUUCGGAUCGUAAAACUCUGUUAUUAGGGAAGAACAUAUGUGUAAGUAACUGUGCACAUCUUGACGGUACCUAAUCAGAAAGCCACGGCUAACUACGUGCCAGCAGCCGCGGUAAUACGUAGGUGGCAAGCGUUAUCCGGAAUUAUUGGGCGUAAAGCGCGCGUAGGCGGUUUUUUAAGUCUGAUGUGAAAGCCCACGGCUCAACCGUGGAGGGUCAUUGGAAACUGGAAAACUUGAGUGCAGAAGAGGAAAGUGGAAUUCCAUGUGUAGCGGUGAAAUGCGCAGAGAUAUGGAGGAACACCAGUGGCGAAGGCGACUUUCUGGUCUGUAACUGACGCUGAUGUGCGAAAGCGUGGGGAUCAAACAGGAUUAG